GCGGGCGUAGCUCAGGGGUAGAGCACAACCUUGCCAAGGUUGGGGUCGGGCGUUCGAAUCGCCUCGCCCGCUCCA
rnacentral:tRNA from 166 species